UCGUGCUAGAUGGGGAGUUAGCGGUGCCCUGUACCUGCAAUCCGCUGUAGCAGGAUCGAAUUCCCGACAGAGGAUGCAUUUUUAGAGGUCAGGAGCGUUUUAAGCGGUGUUGAGAGCCGGGCCCUGUGCAAUAGAUACUUGUGAACCCCGUCAGGUCCGGAAGGAAGCAGCGGUAAGCAGGAAUUCUAUGUGCCGCAGGUCAACCUGGUUUGAGCUGGCUGAUUCGUUUCGCUCUACAGGUGUAUUCGACGAAGGGUGCACGA
rfam:Alkalibacter saccharofermentans DSM 14828 genome assembly, contig: EJ14DRAFT_scaffold00004.4